UGGGAAUUUUAUUUGGCGACCAUUUAAAUCUAGAUUAAGUCACAACACUAAAAUUAUCUUUACACAGUCAAUACAUCAGCACAUAUUUAUUAAAUUCUUAACUUGUGCCAAACAAGCAAAGUAUGGGGUAUUUACUAAAAAAAGGCAAAAGCAAUAGCUGACCUCAAGAAACAAACAAUCUAAUGUGGAAGAUGACAUAUGAACAACUAGCUACAAACAAGACAUAAAUAAAAUAAAUCAGAGAUUCAUUAAUUGAUUUCCUAAUAUAAGGAAGAAAAAUAUUGACGACCUCUUCCCUAAACCUAUGUAAAUACCCAGAAAAAUCUCAAUUUCUUAACUAUGUUAUAAUUUUUUAUCCUAACAAUGUUUGUUUUAUGUUUGGCAAGUUUUCUAUGUCAUGUGUCUAUAACUACAAGUUUUCAUAGAGUUCUAGAAAGGAAGAUUAAUAUCAAUGUAACUUUUUUUUCUGGUCUAACAGUACAAAAUUCUUAAUAAAUAUCUGUGGUGAUGGCAAUAAUGAUAGGAAAACCAUAGUCUUCUCAAUAGAAAAGUGAUUUGCCUAUUUAGAAGUUCACUUCAAAUCCAUCCUCUGCCCUUAUUAUUAUUAACUCUGGCAAGACAUUCUGCCUCAAAAUAUGACAGCACUACCUAACAGUAACUGAAACCCCCAAAAUGAUUAACUGCAAAAAAAAAAAAUGUUUAAAAUAUCACUAUAUGAGCUUCAUCUAAAUUACUGGCCUUUAGGAUGAAGGAGUUUUAAAACAGAUAUUACAUCCAUCUUUUAUUAUCUUCUAUUCUCAGUCAUGGCCAAUUCUUUGUUUUCCCUCAAAAUUCACCCUUCAUUCAAUCAUUUGUCAAGUCCUAUAGAUUCUGUGUCCUCAACAUUUUUCACAUUCAAUUUUUCCUCUCCCUUUCUACAAUCACCACCCUAUCUCAGGUUCUAAUAAUUUUUACCAUGACAAAUCUUUUGUUAUUAUUGUUCAUGCCUUUCAGUCAUGUACAACUCUCCAUGACUCCUUUUUCUUAUUAAAAAUACUAGAAUUCGUUGCCAUUUCUUUGUCCAGCACAUUUAACAGAUGAGGAAACUAAGGCAAACAGGGUUAAGUGACUUACCCAAAUUCACACAGUUGCUGAUUGUCUGAAGCCAGAUUUGAACUCAGAAAGAUGAGUCUUCCUGACUCCAGGUCCAGCUUUCUAUUCACUGAACCACCUAGAUGUCCCUAUUGCCAACUCUAAUAUUUUCUUAAUUUAUCUUAAUUCAUAUCUCUUUUCUUCGAUCCAUUUUUCUCACAGUUCAAACUUUGAUUUAAAUAGCAUAGACUUUUUUUUAAGAUAUUGCUCCCUCAAGGUACCAAUAUUCAAGGCAAAUUGAUCCAUUUAAUGUUCCCUAUAGAUGAUAAUUCAUUUUCUGGCUCCAGGCUUUUGCACAAGUUAUCCUACAUGAUUUAAAUAUUUUUCUCACUUCUGUUUCUUGAAAUUUCAAGAUAUAUCAAGUGCAAUCUUCUUCAUAAAAAUAAUAGAUAAAAUUUAUGUAGUGUUUACUAUGUACUAAAUACAUUACAAUUAUUACCUCAUUUUAUGCUCACAAUAAUCCUGGAAGGUAGGUAAACCAGGUGUGAUGAACCCUUACAAGGGAAGAUUCUUCUAACUUCAGAAAAGUCCUGUCCCCACCAUCAUGUGUCCCAAAUAGACAUUUCAGGAGAUAGAAAAAAUAUUUAUUUGAAAAGAUCAGAGACACCUAGGUGACUAUAAAGCUAAAUAGUAUACUUCUUGGACAGAGUAAAUACAUACUGAAUCAACUGGGAAUUCUAGAAUCAAACUAACAAAAGAAACUAAAUGCAGGUUUGGGGAAAGGGAAGAUAAAGGAGAUCAUACAAGGUCAGUUCAUAAUUUCUAGCCCCAAACUGGGAAGAACACAAAGUAAACUCCCUAGAGCAGCAGGUCUCAAUUUUUUUGAUCUUAGGAAUGCACCCUUAAAAAAAUAUAAGGAAGAAGGGCAGAGUCAAGAUGGCUGUUUAGACGCAGCAAAAGACCAGACUUCUCUCAAAACCCUUCCACACCAAUCAAAAACAAAGUGCUUCAAGGGGACAGAAAACCAAAUCUAACCACAGGACAGAGCUGGGGGAACCUCCUGCUGGAUUCAACUUAAAAGGGAAGCAGCUGGAGGAGAAGCUCAGAGAGGGCAGCCUAGUCUCAGUCAAAACAGUCCAUUUUCCCCCCUCCUCUUGAGGUUUUGGUUUUAAAGCACAUCCAGCAUUGCAGAUCAACUCCACCCUGGCUUAAUCUUAUCAAAAGGACAGAUAAGAAGCCUUCAGAGGCCAGAGAAGCUCAAUUUCCAAUACCCCUUCCCCACUGACUCCACUGAAAGCCUUGCUGACCAAGCUCCAAGGGUGAAGACUGCAAUCACUACAGAAUCUCUUGAUAAUAGGGUGGGAAGCCCAGCUUUCAGCUUCUGUUGCCAACUGGGGAAGUUAAUACCAUCAAGCCUAACCUAGUCAGUCAAUCAGCAGUACAGAAAAGAAGUCCAUUCAAGAGAGAACAGCCCAAAUCUACAGAUCCAGCAAAUAAUCAGAGGAGCAAGAUUAACAGUCAAUAACAAGGGGGAAAGAAGGAAAAAAAUAUAAGCAAACAACAGAAAAAGAGAAAAGAAAUUACAAUCGACAGAGCAAAUGGAACAGAGGAGGACCAAGGAACACCAAGCAAAAAUGUAGGAACUCCAGAAAAUUGGACACAGGCUUUGGAAAACUCAAAACGCAAUUCAAAAAAACAAUUAAGAGAGGCUAAAGGCAAUCUGGAAAUGAACUUAUAAAGCAAAAUAUGUCAUCUGGAAACAGAGGCAUAUGAACUAAAAUCAGAAAACAGUGUCUUGAAAGCCAGAAUUGACCAAGGUAAAGAAAGUGAAGGAUGACCUACAAAGAAAAACAGACCAAAAGGAAAAGAAUGACCCAAAAAACCAGAGAUGAAAUUCAGUCUUUAAAAAUUAGAAUCCAACAACUAGAAGAAAAUGACUUCACAAGGAAACAAGGAUCUAUAAAACAAAAUCAAAAGAAUGAAAAAAUUGAGGAAAAUAUGAAAUAUCUCAUUGAUUGAAAAAAGUUCCAGAAGAGACAAUUUAAGAAUUAUUGGACUACCAGAAAAUCAUGACAAAAGAAAAAGCCUAGACAUCAUUCUACAAGAAAACUCUCCUGACAUUAUUGAACAAGAGGGUAAAGUGCAGAUUGAAAGAAUCCACAGAUCACCUCCCACAUUAAAUCCUCAAUUGACAAUGCUUGGGAAUGUUAAAUCCAAGUUAAAGAACUACCAGACCAAGAAAAAGAUACGUACAAGCUGCUAAAAAGAGACUAUUCAGAUAUUAUGGAGCCACAGUCAUAAUUACACAUGACCUGGCUGCACCCACACUAAAGGACUGGCAGGCAUGGAAUAUGAUAUUCCAGAAAGCAAAAAAACUGGGUCUACAACCAAGAAACAAAUACCAAGAAAAACUGACUAUAUUCUUGCAAGGAAAAUAUGGUCAUAUAAUAAAAUAGAAGAUUCCCAAGCAUUCCUGAAGAAAAGACCAGACUUAAACAGAAAAUUUGAUAUCCCAAUACAGAACUCAAGAGAAUCACCAAAAGGUAAUUAAUAAAGAGGAAAAAAUGUUAUAAAAUCAA